UGAGUAUCUGCCCUUUAGUGAAGAAUACCCUCGAGAAAUCGAGGUUAAUGCUGCAUACGUCCCUUCGGGGAGAAAGAUGGCCUUUGUGCUAUCGCUAGAGGAUGAGCUUGCGGACUAUUAGCUAGUUGGUAAGGUAAAGGCUUACCAAGGCGAUGAUGGUUAACCGGCUGAGAGGGUGAUCGGUCACAUUGGAACUGAGAUACGGUCCAGACUCCGUACGGGGAGGCAG
rnacentral:rRNA from 1 species